UACGUAGGUGACCAGCGUUGUCCGGAUUUACUGGGCGUAAAGAGCGCGCAGGCGGUCGUUCAAGUCGAGUGUGAAAGCCCCCGGCUCAACUGGGGAGGGUCACUUGAUACUGAUCGACUCGAAGGCAGGAGAGGGAAGCGGAAUUCCCGGUGUAGUGGUGAAAUGCGUAGAUAUCAGGAGGAAUACCGAUGGCGAAGGCAGGUCUCUGGGCUGACACUGACGCUCAUGCACGAAAGCGUGGGGAGCAAACAGG
rnacentral:rRNA from 1 species